UCAGUGACUGUGCGAUUCUGUGGCUCUCCUGUGUGCGUGGAGGGCAUCAAGUAGCAGACUGAAUAUAUUUAAUUGAACCAGGUGUUUUCUGGUCCUUUUUUUUUUUUUUUAGGUUUUUCAUCAAUGGGUUGUUUGGUUCUGCUGCUUCCUCCUAGAGUUAACGGUGUCUAUGGAUGGUUAACUCACAUGCAUAAAAAAGCUGCUCUCAGAGGUGUAUCCACUCUUUCGAUGAUGAAGAUUGAUGAGCUGCAAUUUGGCUUGGAUUACAAUAUUUCAGAAGACUUUCUGAACUUGCCAGGCAACCCUCCCUCUAGACUUUGGGGACAGUGGAGCUUAAGUUUAUGUCUCCAGUAUCACACAGGAGAAAGAGCGUUACUUGGUUGCUUUGCACAAGUAAUGAAAAUCAGUGCUGUGUUGCCGUUGGGAGGAAUACUCAAAAGGAGAAAAGCCUGGCAUAUAGAUCUUGUUUUAGAGACAGAGUUUGUCUGGAAAGAGGGUGCUUAA
ensembl:lncRNA